rnacentral:rRNA from 1 species
UACGUAGGGUGCAAGCGUUAAUCGGAAUUACUGGGCGUAAAGCGUGCGCAGGCGGUUUUGUAAGUCUGUCGUGAAAUCCCCGGGCUCAACCUGGGAAUUGCGAUGGAGACUGCAAGGCUGGAGUCUGGCAGAGGGGGGUAGAAUUCCACGUGUAGCAGUGAAAUGCGUAGAGAUGUGGAGGAACACCGAUGGCGAAGGCAAUCCCCUGGGCCUGCACUGACGCUCAUGCACGAAAGCGUGGGGAGCAAACAGG